ensembl:lncRNA
CCUGAACGUUUCUGAAACGUAAUAGAGGAAGUUGAAGUUCAGUCUGCAGCCCAAAUGUGGAUGAGGAAAUAUGAAAUAUGUCUGAAGUCGAAGGAGCUGUGUGUAUCGUAUGUGCCUCCUGUCAUUUUGAAGUACAGCGAAUGAGGCUGACCCAGGCUCUGACCUAAAACUGCUCAGAGGGAGUGAAAAGAAAUGCCAGGAGAAAUCUGGUGCUGCUGUUAAAAGGAAAUCCUGUAAGUGACCCUUUCCUGAUAGUGCUUCUUGUCCCAUUCAGGUGUGUGAGGAUCAUGGUAGCAUGUUAUUUGGCUAAAGCUUCAGCUGACACUCCUGUGUCCUGUUGGAACAGCAGCAGGGACGAUGUGGCUUUAUCCUCUUCUAUUGUAGCAAUGUAAUCAAAUGUUGCCUUUGUAAUGCAUGGCCAGAUAAUAUGACUCUAGGUUAAAGGCUGAUGUCCAUUAUGAAAGUGUUGUGGUUUGGUCAAUUAGUGUCGAGAUUAGCUGAUUUAUGUUUUAAAGGAAACAGAGAGGAAGAACCAGUUUGUAAUCUUUGUUUCCCCUUUUUAAAAUCAUGAUUGAAUUUCACAGCUGACCACAGAUUUGUAUGCACCAACUCCGUGGCUCAAACACACACACAGGUCAGCCACUGUCAGGAUUUAAAGAGGGUUUCUUUUGUUUGUUUGUUUGCUCUUUUGGCUUUGUCAAACUGAUUCUGUCAGCAGUCAUUAAAGUAAUAUAACAAGGGCUGGGUAUCAUCUGAAACUGAUACCAUACAUCUAACUGACUGGCAAAUGAAAAUAUGAUAGAUCAAAACAUUAUCUCAUAAAGUUAGGAUGGGGAACGUGUUAGCAAACAUAGCAUGCCCUUUUCAGUCCAUGUAAUACGUCUUAGCUUAAUAAAAGAACAGCAUUUUCUUUUUAUCUUCGACUCAACCAACUCUUUAGCUGCUACAUGCUACAGUUAAUGGCUAGCUUUUUUCACCACUCAGCUGCUAACUGUACUUGCCUCCCAUCUGGUGCUUUUUUUAAAACUGCAAACAGCUGUCUGCUGUUAUGUCUGAAAACAGGGUUCAUGACAAUGAAGUAAAACAGCAAAGUUCCAAAUUAUAAAACCAAAACAAUGCGUUGAAAGAAGCUAACAAGCUUCUGGUAGCUAGCAGUAGCUACCAUGUUUGAAAAUGUUACCUCACUAGCAUGAGAGGUUUGUUUGUAAUUUUCUGUUGAUAUCACAAUAAGAAAUACUAACAUUGUGAUGCCGCGAGGUGAAACUCAUCGUGUAACUGCCAAAAUGUUUGAGGUAUACCCGACAGUUUUCUGAAGAACAGUACUUACGUUUGAACUACUCACACAGUUGUUUCCAGUCUGUGUUUGCAAAGUCAUUGUUUUUGUCAAAUGUAGCAAAAUUCCCAAAAAGCAAAAUGCAAAUUCAGCUUCAUUAGGCUCUUCCUAGCAAUAGCAUCCAACUACAGAAACACAGAGGUUUUCAGUGCAAGCUGACACUAAAAUCAGUGAUUUGUAGAAAAGCUCUGAUGACAUUCUUUAGCACCUUAAAGCUUGAGUGUAUCAGCGAGGGUUGACUGUUAUGGAGUGGAAAUAAUGAGGAAUAACUGAUCCUUCAUUCUGAGUGAGCUUUUGCAGUAGUGUGAAUGCCCAUGCCCUCUCUCUUCUUCUUCAGCUGUUAAUUGAUUUAGUCAUCGGUAAUUUUUAACAGAAGUACAGGGACGGGAAGUCAACCAAUGUCUUUGGAAUUGUCUUUGGGAAUAUUUCACAUGCAGAUGGUGGCGCGUUAAUAAAAGCUGUCAUCAAGCAGUUGAAUUGCUUUGUUUGCGCCGCAGCAGCUGUCUUCUAGCAAAAAGCUUCCUUGUGCCUGUCCCAACUUCUUCUAGCUUUGCUUUUCUCCCAGAGUUUCUACUUACCAGUACACGGGUGUACAGAUGUGCUCUGUAGUCCUCUUCAUGGCCCCUAAAAUAUAAGAAGUAAGCAAAGUAGAUACCAAGCAGGGUUGGUUGGUGGGGAGUUUUCCAAGUACCCUUAAGGAAGCAUCAUAACUAUUAUGGCUGUUUUUAAGAACUGCAAAAAUAAAAAGGUCUACCUGUUUUUAUUGAAAGGGGCCACCGAAGUAAAGAAUGUCUUUUGAGAUAUAAGUGCAGUAAAGACACAACGUAUGCACUCCUGUAGCUCUGUGGGGGGCGUGCUCAUCUGAUUGGAGGGUGUAAAAUAUCAAAUUUGUCACAGCCACUUUUACAGACUGCAUCUCGCCCAGAAUUGAGACUCCCAGUGCAGCACUUCUUCAAGUCUUUCAAAUAUUAUAGCAGAUGAUUUUAUUUUGAGUUGUCGCAGCAGCUCGAUUUAGAAACAUUGACGUAUAUAUGCUUAAUUAUUUAAUUAACUGCAGCCUUUUUAACAAAAUGUAUAGUGCACGCACAUGUAUGUCUGCACACUAUGAAAUUAUGCUUGCAAGCCCAGUCCUAAGAGGUGAGAAACGUUUCUGUAAGCAUACAGUGACCUCUGCAGGUUCAUAUAAUAAAAGAAUAAAGCUAAAUGGGAAUGAAGCUAAUGCACCUGAAUCACAUGCCACUGCAUAACAGUGGGCACAGAGGUCCACAUACAGGCCUGUCAUUUGGACAUUCUGCAUAUCAAAGCCUAUUAGCCGCUCUGUUACGGCACUCAGAGGGCAGAGACCCUAAAACGUUCUUAUUUGAGGCUGAGAAAAUGAACCGUAGCUAACAUUUUGGCUUAUUUAAUAAAAGCUCCUCUGAAAUCUGUCCAAGGAGCCUCGUAGUACUUCAUCGAACGCUGCCACACUCACAUCUGACAUGCAAGUGUAACACUAGCUAACGAACACCUACUGUACCUGCAGAGCAUGCUGAAAAACUAUGGGAUGUGUUAGGUAGACUUACUCUGUCAUUUGAAGAACCUCCUUGUUUUUGUUUUGUUUUUUGCGUGUGUGUGUUUGUUUUUCAUAAUUUGAAUUUUAUUUUUCGGUUUGGAAAAAAAUGUAUUGUGAUUACUUGUUAAUUAGUGAUGUGAUAAUUAAACAAAUAAAUUGGACUAAAACUCAC